rnacentral:rRNA from 1 species
GACGAACGCUGGCGGCGUGCUUAACACAUGCAAGUCGAACGGAAAGGCCCUGCUUUUGUGGGGUGCUCGAGUGGCGAACGGGUGAGUAACACGUGAGUAACCUGCCCUUGACUUUGGGAUAACUUCAGGAAACUGGGGCUAAUACCGGAUAGGAGCUCCUGCUGCAUGGUGGGGGUUGGAAAGUUUCGGCGGUUGGGGAUGGAUUCGCGGCUUAUCAGCUUGUUGGUGGGGUAGUGGCUUACCAAGGCUUUGACGGGUAGCCGGCCUGAGAGGGUGACCGGCCACAUUGGGACUGAGAUACGGCCCAGACUCCUACGGGAGGCAGCAGUGGGGAAUAUUACACAAUGGGCGGAAGCCUGAUGCAGCAACGCCGCGUGCGGGAUGACGGCCUUCGGGUUGUAAACCGCUUUCGCCUGUGACGAAGCGUGAGUGACGGUAAUGGGUAAAGAAGCACCGGCUAACUACGUG